GCGGAAGUACCCAAGAGGUCGAAGGGGCUCCCCUGCUAAGGGAGUAGGCGUCUAAACAACGUGCGAGGGUUCAAAUCCCUCCUUCCGCGCCA
rnacentral:tRNA from 1 species